UUCAAAAGACUUGUUGAACACUCAAAUUCCGAGUCUCCAAACACCCAUUCUUCAACUACCGUGAGUUUCCUCCCCAGCUUCCUAACUUAGAAACCACAGUACUAGUUUGAAUGGAGCAUUUCUCCUUCAUUUGUAGUCAAACACGGCUACGACCUUUUCUUUCCUAUAAAUAUACACAAACCUCAUAGCCAUCUCUAUACAAUCCAAUCAUCUUCCUCAUUUUCUUCAUUCAUUCAUGGCCAAGACCCUCCUCUCAGUUCUCUUCUUCAUCACCUUCAUCCUGCUCUCUUCCUACAUACAAGCCCGCCCCAUACAUGACCACAGCGCCAUGAUGAAGUCAGUUCCUGGCCUAAUGGAGAGGGCCAACCGGUAUGUUGAAGUGCUUGGCCUCUGGGGGAUCAAGAACUCUGGUCCCAGUCCUGGGGAGGGCCACUCUUUUGUUAAUGGUGCACACAAUUAAUGGGACUCCAGCUUUGCUCUCGAUGCUUAAGGAAUUCAAAGAGGAAUCCCCACAUGUUGGGAUGCUAAAUGCCAUGUGUUGGAUCAAUGGGGCCCUUGAGUUUCUGGAGUGAGCUCAAUAAUUUUCACCUUUCAAUGUAAGAUAAAAGUCAUGCUGCUGCUCCCAUAAAUACAGAGGUACAAUUGUAUCUUUCUGUGUAAAAUUAGGAAUUGGGUUAUUAGAAUUUAAUGGAAAAAAAUAAUAGAUAUGACUCAGUCAAUUCUUUUCA